rnacentral:tRNA from 1 species
GGGGCGUAGCUCAGCGGGAGAGCGCCUGCUUUGCAAGCAGGAGGUCGGCGGUUCGAAUCCGCUCGCCUCC